rnacentral:rRNA from 1 species
GACGAACGCUGGCGGCGUGCUUAACACAUGCAAGUCGAACGGAAAGGCCCUGCUUUUGUGGGGUGCUCGAGUGGCGAACGGGUGAGUAACACGUGAGUAACCUGCCCUUGACUUUGGGAUAACUUCAGGAAACUGGGGCUAAUACCGGAUAGGAGCUCCUGCUGCAUGGUGGGGGUUGGAAAGUUUCGGCGGUUGGGGAUGGACUCGCGGCUUAUCAGCUUGUUGGUGGGGUAGUGGCUUACCAAGGCUUUGACGGGUAGCCGGCCUGAGAGGGUGACCGGCCACAUUGGGACUGAGAUACGGCCCAGAGUCCUACGGGAGGCAGCAGUGGGGAAUAUUGCACAAUGGGCGGAAGCCUGAUGCAGCAACGCCGCGUGCGGGAUGACGGCCUGCGGGUUGAAAACCGCUUUCGCCUGUGACGAAGCGUGAGUGACGGUAAUGGGUAAAGAAGCACCGGCUAACUACGUG